rnacentral:rRNA from 1 species
ACCUGGCGGCGUGCUUACACAUGCAGUCGAACGAUGAAGCCCAGCCUUGCUGGGUGGAUUAGUGGCGAACGGGUGAGUAACACGUGAGCAACGUGCCCAUAACUCUGGGAUAACCUCCGGAAAACGGUGGCUAAUACUGGAUAUCUAACGCGAUCGCAUGGUCUGUGUUUGGAAAGAUUUUCUGGUUAUGGAUCGGCUCACGGCCUAUCAGCUUGUUGGUGAGGUAAUGGCUCACCAAGGCGACGACGGGUAGCCGGCCUGAGAGGGUGACCGGCCACACUGGGACUGAGACACGGCCCACACUCCUACGGGAGGCAGCAGUGGGGAAUAUUGCACAAUGGGCGAAAGCCUGAUGCAUCAACGCCGCGUGAGGGAUGACGGCCUUCGGGUUGUAAACCUCUUUUAGUAGGGAAGAAGCGAAAGUGACGGUACCUGCAGAAAAAGCACCGGCUAACUACGUGCCAGCAGCCGCGGUAAUACGUAGGGUGCAAGCGUAGUCCGGAAUUAUUGGGCGUAAAGAGCUCGUAGGCGGUUUGUCGCCUCUGCUGUGAAAUCCCGAGGCUCAACCUCGGGUCUGCAGUGGGUACGGGC